GGAGACAGCUAGACAGUCGCCGCUUGCUUGCAAGGGGAGGAAAGUCCGGGCUCCAUAGGGUAAGGUGCCAGUUAACGGCUGGGCGGCGUGAGCCGACGGAAAGUGCAACAGAGAAGAGACCGCCAGAUGGGCAACCGUUUGGUAAGGGUGAAACGGUGCGGUAAGAGCGCACCGCGACUCUGGUAACAGAGUUGGCAUGGCAAACCCCACCUGGAGCAAGACCAAAUAGGGUUCCAUUAAGGCGUGACCCGCGCUGGAACCGGGUAGGUCGCUUGACUGUGUGAGCGAUUACACGGCUAGAUGAAUGACUGUCCACGACAGAACCCGGCUUAUCGGCUGUCUCCCA
rnacentral:RNase_P_RNA from 1 species